CCUACGGGUGGCAGCAGUGGGGAAUAUUGGACAAUGGGCGAAAGCCUGAUCCAGCCAUGCCGCGUGUGUGAAGAAGGCCUUCGGGUUGUAAAGCACUUUCAGUGGGGAAGAAAGCCUUGGGGCUAAUACCCUCGAGGAAGGACAUCACCCACAGAAGAAGCACCGGCUAACUCCGUGCCAGCAGCCGCGGUAAUACGGAGGGUGCGAGCGUUAAUCGGAAUUACUGGGCGUAAAGCGCGCGUAGGCGGUCUGAUAAGCCGGUUGGGAAAGCCCCGGGCUCAACCUGGGAACGGCAUCCGGAACUGUCAGGCUAGAGUGCAGGAGAGGAAGGUAGAAUCCCCGGUGUAGCGGUGAAAUGCGUAGAGAGCGGGAGGAAUACCAGUGGCGAAGGCGGCCUUCUGGACUGACACUGACGCUGAGGUGCGAAAGCGUGGGUAGCAAACAGGAUUAGAUACCCGAGUAGUC
rnacentral:rRNA from 1 species